rnacentral:rRNA from 1 species
GACGAACGCUGGCGGCGUGCUUAACACAUGCAAGUCGAACGGAAAGGCCUGCUUUCCCUUGUGGAUUGCGGGUACUCGAGUGGCGAACGGGUGAGUAACACGUGAGUGAUCUGCCCCCAACUUGGGUAUAAGCCUGGGAAACUGGGUCUAAUUCCCGAUAGGACUGCAGGGUGGUGCCUGUGGUGGAAAACGAUUUUCUAGUGGUUGGGGAUGAGCUCGCGGCCUAUCAGCUUGUUGGUGGGGUAAUGGCCUACCAAGGCGGCGACAGGUAGCCGGCCUGAGAGGGGGGACGGCCACAUUGGGACUGAGAUACGGCCCAGACUCCUACGGGAGGCAGCAGUGGGGAAUAUUGCACAAUGGGCGGAAGCCUGAUGCAGCGACGCCGCGUGGGGGAUGACGGCCUUCGGGUUGUAAACUCCUUUCGACCGCGAGGAAGCCACCUGGUUGGAAGGGUGGUGACGGUAGUGGUAGAAGAAGCACCGGCUAACUACGUG